GACUACAGGGGUAUCUAAUCCUGUUCGCUCCCCACGCUUUCGCUCCUCAGCGUCAGUACCGGCCCAGAGUGCUGCCUUCGCCGUUGGUGUUCCUCCUGAUAUCUGCGCAUUUCACCGCUACACCAGGAAUUCCGCACUCCCCUACCGGACUCUAGUCACCGCAGUAUCGGGUGGCGUCUCUGGGUUGAGCCCAGAGUUUUCACACCCGACUGACGGAACCGCCUACGAGCUCUUUACGCCCAAUAAAUCCGGACAACGCUCGCCCCCUACGUGUUACCGCGGCUGCUGGCACGUAGUUGGCCGGGGCUUCUUCUGCAGGUACCGUCAUCUUCGUCCCUGCUGAAAGCGGUUUACAACCCGAAGGCCUUCAUCCCGCACGCGGCGUUGCUGCGUCAGGCUUUCGCCCAUUGCGCAAGAUUCCCCACUGCAGCCUCCCGUAGG
rnacentral:rRNA from 1 species